AUGGCGGCCACCUCCUCCUCUUUCUUCGCCCCGCCCCCCGCGGCUCUGCUUCGCCACGGCGCUUCUCCCCGUCCUACCGCCGCGGCCUCCCCCUCCUCCUCCUGGCGCUGCCACGGCCGACUCCAGCGCCCGUCUGUUCGAGUCCCCCGCCGCCGUCCAGCGACCCCAGCGGCCGCCCGACCCUUGAGGUUUUGCGGCAAUGGUGUCUAUGGGUGGCCGGCGGUGCCCAGGGGUUGGACUAAAAGGGGGCCGACAAAGGGUUUAUGCGCCGCUGGGGCACAUGACGAUGCUGUGAAUCAAGUUGGCGAGGGUGUCGACCACGACGACAACGGAGUCCGUGUUUCCAAUGAGGCCCUCCGCGCCACCAUCCGUAAGAGCAGAGAGGUGCUGGCGAUGCACAGAGAUCUACUUGAUCAGAUACCAGAAAAGAAGAAGCUCAUCUCUAUUAUUGAGGCCAGCUCCAUUCAUAAUGGGCAAGAGCCAUUCAGUGGUAGUCCCUUUUCACGCUCGGAUGCAGUUUCAGAGGGCGAAGAGAUUGGCUAUGAUCUUCAGAUGUACCUUGACAGGCGUUCACAGAAAUCCGAAAUUCGUUCAACUCAUGGAGAAUCUAUUAGUGGCCAGCAUGAAUACUAUGGAAGUUUAGAAGGCAAACUUUCCAACGCUGAUGUUAAUGGAUCAUAUAGCAAGGAUUAUGAAAAGGGACACUCAGUUACUGAGGAAAUAAAUGACAAUUCAUCUUCUUCGGCCGCUGUAGAUGUUAUGAAUAUCAUAUUGGUAGCUGCAGAAUGUGCUCCUUGGUCGAAAACAGGUGGACUUGGGGAUGUUGCCGGAGCUUUGCCGAAGGCUUUGUCAAAGAGAGGUCAUCGUGUCAUGGCGAUAGUACCAAUGUAUGGGAACUAUGAAGAACCUCACCAAAUAGGAGAACCAAAGAGGUACCAGGUCGCAGGGCAGGAUAUGGAGGUAAAAUAUCAUCAUGCAUACAUAGAUGGCGUGGAUUUUGUGUUUAUCGACAAUCCUAUCUUCCACAAUGUUGAGAGUGAAAUUUAUGGUGGAGACCGAACAGCCAAUUUUUUUCUGCAGGAUAUCUUGAAACGAAUGAUCUUAUUGUGCAAAGCAGCUGUAGAGGCUCCAUGGUGUGUUCCAUGUGGUGGUUUUUGCUACGGUGAUGGAAAUCUUGUAUUCAUUGCAAAUGACUGGCACACUGCAUUACUGCCUGUUUAUUUGAAGGCUUAUUAUCGUGACAAUGGUUUCAUGAUAUAUGCCCGCUCUGUCCUUGUGAUACACAAUAUAGCACAUCAGGGCCGUGGCCCCUUGGAUGAUUUCAGUUACCUGGAUUUGCCCAGUAACUACAUGGACCUUUUCAAACAUCACGACCCAUUUGGAGGUGAUCAUCUAAACAUAUUUGCUGCUGGAAUUAAAGCUGCGGACCGUUUACUUACUGUUAGCCAUGGUUAUGCAUGGGAGCUCAAAACGCCUGAAGGUGGUUGGGGCCUUCAUGGGAUCAUUAAUGAAAGUGAUUGGAAAUUCCAAGGCAUUGUAAAUGGUAUCGAUACCACUGAUUGGAAUCCUAGGCGUGAUGUCCACCUGAAAUUGGAUGGAUACAGCAACUAUUCUCUGGAAACUGUUGAAACAGGUAAAGCACAGUGUAAAGCGGCAUUGCAGAAAGAACUUGGUCUCCCGGUUCGUGGGGAUGUUCCUGUGAUUGCUUUCAUCGGACGGCUAGACAAUCAAAAAGGUGUAGACCUGAUAGCAGAAGCAAUGCCAUGGAUAGCUGGUCAAGAUGUACAGGUAAUACUGCUGGGUACCGGGAGGCAAGACCUCGAAGACACAUUGAGGAGGCUUGAAAGCCAGCACUACGACAGAGUUAGGGGGUGGGUUGGUUUCUCUGUCAGGUUGGCUCAUCGUAUGACCGCAGGAGCUGAUAUACUGUUGAUGCCGUCAAGGUUCGAGCCUUGCGGGUUGAACCAGCUCUAUGCAAUGAUGUAUGGGACCGUGCCCGUGGUGCAUGCGGUGGGUGGCCUUCGAGACACUGUCCAGCACUACAAUCCAUAUGAGGAGGUUGGGCUUGGUUGGACUUUUGAAAAUGCGGAAGCAAACAGGAUGAUCGAUGCGCUGGGGCACUGCCUGAACACGUACAGGAACUACAAGUCUAGCUGGGAGGGACUCCGGAGGAGAGGGAUGAUGCAGGACCUGAGCUGGGACACUGCUGCUAAACGCUAUGAGGAGGUUCUUGUUGCUGCCAAGUAUCAGUGGUGA
rnacentral:rRNA from 1 species